GCCCGGGGCGGGCGUGCUAAUACAUGCAAGUCGAGCGGACAGAAGGGAGCUUGCUCCCGGAUGUUAGCGGCGGACGGGUGAGUAACACGUGGGUAACCUGCCUGUAAGACUGGGAUAACUCCGGGAAACCGGAGCUAAUACCGGAUAGUUCCUUGAACCGCAUGGUUCAAGGAUGAAAGACGGUUUCGGCUGUCACUUACAGAUGGACCCGCGGCGCAUUAGCUAGUUGGUGGGGUAAUGGCUCACCAAGGCGACGAUGCGUAGCCGACCUGAGAGGGUGAUCGGCCACACUGGGACUGAGACACGGCCCAGACUCCUACGGGAGGCAGCAGUAGGGAAUCUUCCGCAAUGGACGAAAGUCUGACGGAGCAACGCCGCGUGAGUGAUGAAGGUUUUCGGAUCGUAAAGCUCUGUUGUUAGGGAAGAACAAGUGCGAGAGUAACUGCUCGCACCUUGACGGUACCUAACCAGAAAGCCACGGCUAACUACGUGCCAGCAGCCGCGGUAAUACGUAGGUGGCAAGCGUUGUCCGGAAUUAUUGGGCGUAAAGGGCUCGCAGGCGGUUUCUUAAGUCUGAUGUGAAAGCCCCCGGCUCAACCGGGGAGGGUCAUUGGAAACUGGGAAACUUGAGUGCAGAAGAGGAGAGUGGAAUUCCACGUGUAGCGGUGAAAUGCGUAGAGAUGUGGAGGAACACCAGUGGCGAAGGCGACUCUCUGGUCUGUAACUGACGCUGAGGAGCGAAAGCGUGGGGAGCGAACAGGAUUAGAUACCCUGGUAGUCCACGCCGUAAACGAUGAGUGCUAAGUGUUAGGGGGUUUCCGCCCCUUAGUGCUGCAGCUAACGCAUUAAGCACUCCGCCUGGGGAGUACGGUCGCAAGACUGAAACUCAAAGGAAUUGACGGGGGCCCGCACAAGCGGUGGAGCAUGUGGUUUAAUUCGAAGCAACGCGAAGACCCUUACCAGGUCUUGACAUCCUCUGACAACCCUAGAGAUAGGGCUUUCCCUUCGGGACAGAGUGACAGUGGUGCAUGCUGUCGUCAGCUCGUGUCGUGAGAUGUUGGGUUAAGUCCCGCACGAGCGCAUCCUUGAUCCUUAGUUGCCAGG
rnacentral:rRNA from 1 species